rnacentral:rRNA from 1 species
UACGGGGGGAGCAAGCGUUGUUCGGAUUUACUGGGCGUAAAGGGCGCGUAGGCGGCCAGCACAAGUCAGUUGUGAAAUCUCUGAGCUUAACUCGGAACGGUCAACUGAUACUGUGCGGCUAGAGUGCGGAAGGGGCAACUGGAAUUCUCGGUGUAGCGGUGAAAUGCGUAGAUAUCGAGAGGAACACCUGCGGCGAAGGCGGGUUGCUGGGCUGACACUGACGCUGAGGCGCGAAAGCUAGGGGAGCGAACGGG